GUAUUGAUGAAGAGUUCCAAACGAGGACGAAGCAACUGUCCAAUAC
rnacentral:hammerhead_ribozyme from 1 species